CUUAUAUUCAAAUCAGAUAAUUUAGUGACAGGUCAAGCAUCCGUUUCCGGAAAAGCCACGGCGACAUGGGCCUAACAUACAGAUGAAGGGAGGCAUCACAUACCCCCUUUUAGAUGCACACCAUACCCCGAAGGCAGACAGGACAGGACAUGGUCCCCGACAUGGCCCCGGGGUGCUCCCAAAUACCUUCCCUGCAAACUGCACGCUCCCGUCCCCAGGGAUGAGCCUGUCACCUCUUCCCGUGUUCAAGGCAACGUGCAAAUGGACUCGACGAUGGGUUGUGCCACAGGAAUGGGAGAGAGGGUCCCCCAUGGGUUUCCUGCAAACAGGGAAGGACUGACCCCAGGGUGGCAGGGGAGAAAGUGGGAGACGUGGAAACUUCCAGAAGCAGAAUCUGCAGCACAGCCUCUGAGAGAGCCCGGGCUAGGGUGCGUUCAGAGUGAGCCAGGGGUCCAGCUGGGCCAGAGAAGGGAGAAACACGGGACAAUGGUUCUUUGUUCAUGCAAGCAGCUGGAGCAAACAAUGAGAAAUGCAGAAUUAAUUGGGUGCUGAUUAUUUGCCAGGGGAAAAAUGGCGAGAGAGAGAGAGAGAGAGAGAGAGAGAGAGAGAGAGAGAGAUGAAACAAAAGACAACCUAGCAACAGCUCGAGCCUCCACGUAGCAACGAAAGCAAUCCUGCUGAAGCGUGACGAUGCCAGCACAGAGCCGGCAGCCGGCCACGGCAUAUGGAGAGGAAGGAAAGCAAAUGUUGGUACUGCCCAGGAGCCAGGAGGGGCCAUCCAGGAACCCACCCACCCUGCAGCCUCCCACGGCCCAGCACAGCCCCCCGGACUGCCGCUUUGACGACCUCAGACACCUCAUGCGCCACGCUGGGCCCCCAUCUGCCCCAUAAUAUGCACCUGCCUGGGCGCUGAAGAAGGGAACGUGACCCAGAUGGGGGCCAGAAGGGCAGGGCUUGCACUCCGAGCAAUAGGACAAGGGAGCGCCAGCGCUGGCACCACACAGCCUGGAGCAUCGGUUCCUCGGUCUGCACGGGGAGCACCGAGGCUUCAGAGGACGCGACAUUCGGACCGAGCCAGGAAAGGUGGACGGCCACACGUCAGGUGCUGAAGGGAGGACAGGCGUCGGCAGAGGCGAGGGCACGCGGUCUGACGAGUGCAGAGAAGCGGUAGCUGCGGCGCUCUCUCCGAAAGUGAAACACGGACCCACGGGCUGUGUGAGCAGCGCUUCCAUUC
rnacentral:lncRNA from 12 species